rnacentral:rRNA from 1 species
AACGAACGCUGGCGGCAUGCCUAACACAUGCAAGUCGAACGCUCCGCAGGGGGAGUGGCGAACGGGUGAGUAACGCGUGGGAACCUGCCCAGUAGUUGGGGAUAACCGCGGGAAACUGCGGCUAAUACCGAAUACGCCCUAAGGGGGAAAGGAUUUAUCGCUAUUGGAGGGGCCCGCGUCGGAUUAGCUGGUUGGUGAGGUAACGGCUCACCAAGGCGACGAUCCGUAGCUGGUCUGAGAGGAUGAUCAGCCACACUGGGACUUAGACACGGCCCAGACUCCUACGGGAGGCAGCAGUGGGGAAUAUUGGACAAUGGGGGCAACCCUGAUCCAGCAAUGCCGCGUGAGUGAUGAAGGCCUUAGGGUUGUAAAGCUCUUUUACCGGGGACGAUGAUGACGGUACCCGGAGAAUAAGCCCCGGCUAAC